rnacentral:tRNA from 1 species
GGAAUGGCGCAGCUGGUAGCGCAACUGAUUCGUAAUCAGUAGGUCGCCGGUUCGAAUCCGGCUUCC